AGGCUUAACACAUGCAAGUCGAACGAGAAGCCAGACUUCGGUUUGGUGGAAAGUGGCGCACGGGUGAGUAGCGCGUGGGAAUCUACCCAGCAGUGCGGGAUAACUCCGGGAAACCGGUGCUAAUACCGCAUACGCCCUUCGGGGGAAAGAUUUAUCGCUGUUGGAUGAGCCCGCGUCGGAUUAGCUUGUUGGUGAGGUAAAGGCUCACCAAGGCGACGAUCCGUAGCUGGUCUGAGAGGAUGAUCAGCCACACUGGGACUGAGACACGGCCCAGACUCCUACGGGAGGCAGCAGUGGGGAAUAUUGGACAAUGGGCGCAAGCCUGAUCCAGACCAUGCCGCGUGAGUGAAGAAGGCCUUAGGGUUGUAAAGCUCUUUCAGUGGGGAAGAUAAUGACGGUACCCACAGAAGAAGCCCCGGCUAACUCCGUGCCAGCAGACGCGGUAAUACGGAGGGGGCUAGGGUUGUUCGGAAUUACUGGGCGUAAAGCGCGCGUAGGCG
rnacentral:rRNA from 1 species